rnacentral:rRNA from 1 species
CCUACGGGCGGCAGCAGUGAGGAAUAUUGGUCAAUGGACGAGAGUCUGAACCAGCAAAGCAGCGUGAAGGAUGACUGCCCUAUGGGUUGUAAACUUCUUUUAUAAAGGAAUAAAACGAGGCACGUGUGCCUUUUUGCAUGUACUUUAUGAAUAAGGAUCGGCUAACUCCGUGCCAGCAGCCGCGGUAAUACGGAGGAUCCGAGCGUUAUCCGGAUUUAUUGGGUUUAAAGGGAGCGUAGAUGGGUUGUUAAGUCAGUUGUGAAAGUUUGCGGCUCAACCGUAAAAUUGCAAUUGAUACUGGCAGUCUUGAGUACAGUUGAGGUAGGCGGAAUUCGUGGUGUAGCGGUGAAAUGCUUAGAUAUCACGAAGAACCCCGAUUGCGAAGGCAGCUUACUAAACUGUGACUGACAUUGAGGCUCGAAAGCGUGGGGAGCAAACAGGAUUAGAUACCCCUGUAGUC